rnacentral:rRNA from 1 species
AUGCUUGUGAUGCCUUCGGGAACUCUGAGACACGGUGCUGCUUGGCUGUCGUCAGCUCGUGUUGUGAAAUGUUGGGUUAAGUNCCGCAACGGAAGCGGCCAACCCUUUUUCCNUUUGGUUGCCAGCGGUUCGGCCGGGAACUCAAAGGAGACUGCCAGUGAUAAACUGGAGGAAGGUGGGGAUGACGUCAAGUCAUCAUGGCCCUUACGAGUAGGGCUACACACGUGCUACAAUGGCAUAUACAAAGAGAAGCGACCUCGCGAGAGCAAGCGGACCGUCAUAAAGUAUGUCGUAGUCCGGAUCGGAGUCUGCAACUCGACUCCGUGAAGUCGGAAUCGCUAGUAAUCGUGGAUCAGAAUGCCACGGUGAAUACGUUCCCGGGUCUUUGUACA